rnacentral:rRNA from 1 species
UAAUAGUUUCGAGUUGGAAGCAUGGUGACAUGUGGAGCUGACGAAUACUAAUCGAUCGAAGACUUAAUCAA